AUUGGAGGCACCACCUGGUGUCGGGCCCGCGGUCACGGACCGAGAGCCAGACUAAUCAGUCUGCAUGCCUGACUCCCCAGCGGCCCUGGAUGUGUGGGUCAGCACGACCCACACUUUGGGAACCGCUGCUCUAUAGGUUCUCAAUAGGAUUGAGGUCAGGUGAGGAUGGAGGCCACACCAUGACUUUCUCUCCUUUUAUCCCCAUAACAGCUAUUGAUGCAGAGGUAUUCUUUGCAGCAUGAGAUGGUGCAUUGUCAUGCAUGAAGAUUAUUUUAUUACGGAAAGCAUAGUUCUUCCUUUUGUACCAGGGAAGAAAGUGGCCAGUCAGAAACUCCACAUACUUUGCAGAGGUCAUCUUUACACCUUCAGGGACCGACCAGCUCUCUUUCCAUAAUUCUGGCCCAAAACAUGACUCCACCACCACCUUGCUGACAUCGCAGCCUUGUUGGAACAGGGUGGCUGUCCACCAACCAUCCACUACUCUAUCCAUCUGUACCAUCCAGGGUUGCACGGCACUCAUCAUUGAACAGGACCUGUUGAAAAUUAG